rnacentral:rRNA from 1 species
UGGGGAAUAUUGGGCAAUGGGCGGCAAGCCUGACCCAGCAACGCCGCGUGAAGGAAGAAGGCUUUCGGGUUGUAAACUUCUUUUGUCAGGGACGAAGCAAGUGACGGUACCUGACGAAUAAGCCACGGCUAACUACGUGCC